rnacentral:rRNA from 1 species
GACGAACGCUGGCGGCGCGCUUAACACAUGCAAGUCGAGCGAUGAAAUCUUAACAGAACCCUUCGGGGUGAAGAUAAGACGGAUUAGCGGCGGACGGGUGAGUAACACGUGAGUAACCUGCCUUUUACACAGGGAUAGCCUCAGGAAACCGGGAUUAAAACCUGAUGAAACUACCAAAUCACAUGAUUAAGAAAGUUAAAACUCCGGUGGUAAAAGAUGGACUCGCGUCCCAUUAGCUAGUUGGUGAAGGUAACGGCCCACUAAGGCAACGAUGGGUAGCCGGCCUGAGAGGGUGAACGGACACAUUGGAACUGAGAAACGGUCCAAACUCCUACGGGAGGCAGCAGUGGGGAAUAUUGCACAAUGGGGGAAACCCUGAUGCAGCGACGCCGCGUGAGCGAAGAAGGCCUUCGGGUCGUAAAGCUCUUUUAUAUGGGAAGAUAAUGACGGUACCAGAAGAAAAAGCCCCGGCUAACUACGUG